rnacentral:rRNA from 1 species
GACGAACGCUGGCGGCGUGCCUAAUACAUGCAAGUUGAGCGCUGAAGGUUGGUACUUGUACCAACUGGAUGAGCAGCGAACGGGUGAGUAACGCGUGGGGAAUCUGCCUUUGAGCGGGGGACAACAUUUGGAAACGAAUGCUAAUACCGCAUAAAAACUUUAAACACAAGUUUUAAGUUUGAAAGAUGCAAUUGCAUCACUCAAAGAUGAUCCCGCGUUGUAUUAGCUAGUUGGUGAGGUAAAGGCUCACCAACGCGAUGAUACAUAGCCGACCUGAGAGGGUGAUCGGCCACAUUGGGACUGAGACACGGCCCAAACUCCUACGGGAGGCAGCAGUAGGGAAUCUUCGGCAAUGGACGAAAGUCUGACCGAGCAACGCCGCGUGAGUGAAGAAGGUUUUCGGAUCGUAAAACUCUGUUGGUAGAGAAGAACGUUGGUGAGAGUGGAAAGCUCAUCAAGUGACGGUAACUACCCAGAAAGGGACGGCUAACUACGUG